rfam:Candidatus Staskawiczbacteria bacterium RIFCSPLOWO2_01_FTLL_38_12b rifcsplowo2_01_scaffold_8441, whole genome shotgun sequence.
GGAGGGUUGGCAGAACGGCAUUGCGUCCGCCUCGAAAGCGGAUGGGCGAAAGCCCUUGUGGGUUCGAAUCCUACACCCUCCG